rnacentral:sRNA from 1 species
GCCAGGUGUGAUGGCUCACACCUGUAGUCCCAGCUACUCAGGAGGCUGAGGCAGGAGGGUCACUUGAGGCCAGGAGUUCAAGACCAGCUAGCCUGGGCAACAUAGUGAGACCUCCUCUCUAAAAUAAAUAAAUAAAAAUAUAAGAUAGAAUGGCCAGGCGUGGUGGCUCAUGGCUGUAAUCCCAGCAAUUUGAGAGGCUGAGGUGGGAGGAUCGCUUGAGGUCAGGAGCUUGAGACCAGCCUGGCCAACACGGCAAAACCCUGUCUCU